rnacentral:snoRNA from 1 species
AACCCAUGGUGAGGGCAUCUUCCCAAAAGGUCCUUGUAUCUUUCCCAUGCAUCAUAGAUGUUUCUAAAUCCAUCUGCACAAAAUAAGAGAUAUUAUUACGUAAUUU